UACGUAGGGUGCGAGCGUUAAUCGGAAUACUGGGCGUAAAGCGUGCGCAGGCGGUGAGCUGUGUCCGAUGUGAAAGCCCCGGGCUUAACCUGGGAAUGGCAUUGGAAACUGGCUCGCUGGAGUGUGGCAGAGGGGGUGGAAUUCCGCGUGUAGCAGUGAAAUGCGUAGAGAUGCGGAGGAACACCGAUGGCGAAGGCAGGUCGUCUGGGCUGACACUGACGCUCAUGACGACGAAAGGCGUGGGGAGCAAACGAUGG
rnacentral:rRNA from 1 species